CGACCGGCGCACGGGUGAGUAACACGUAUGGAACCUGCCCGCAGCAGGGGGAUAAGCGGAAGAAAUUCCGUCUAAUACCGCGUAACACCGCAGAGGGGCAUCCCUCGGCGGUUAAAGAUUCAUCGGCUGCGGAUGGCCAUGCGGCGCAUUAGCUAGUCGGCGGGGUAACGGCCCACCGAGGCGACGAUGCGUAGGGGUUCUGAGAGGAAGGCCCCCCACACUGGUACUGAGACACGGACCAGACUCCUACGGGAGGCAGCAG
rnacentral:rRNA from 1 species